UCCGAAGUAGCCAUUCCACCAAUCCUGUCC
rnacentral:piRNA from 1 species